rnacentral:lncRNA from 1 species
ACUCAGCAUCAAAUUGGCACAACCUGAGAGCAGACUGUUCUGAAAAUACACAUGGAUACCGGUACUCCCCUACGUGGUACAGAUACUUAAUAGUGAAAAUCUGCACUUUGCAGAUUUCACUGUUAAAAUAUUGCUCUCGCGUCGCACUGAGUCCGUUUUGCGUCCAUUUCGCGCCAAAACGACUCCGACUUAUCCCGACACUCUCCAGAUGUGCCGACAAGCCUCAGAUGCUGAAAUCUCACGGGCAACCAAACACCAUAGAUACUACAGAUAGUGGAUACUAUAAAAAAAAUAUAAGAUAUACAAUAAAAAUUACAAUAAAAAUUAUACUUUAUAAAUUUAUAUGUUAUAUUAAAUCUACUAUCUCACAUAAGAAAAUUCUACUAUUAUGAAUUAAAAUUUAAAUUAUCAAAUUGGCGGGUAUUAAAUUUUGGCGGACAUUACAAAUUUAAAAUUUAAUUUUGAAUACUACGUGAUUGACAGGUAUUAUGUUUGAGAAAAAAAAUAUUUGAGAAAAUGUAUGGAUAUGAGAUAAAUUUAAUUUUAUGUAUUACGUGAUUAGUAGAUAUAUUACGUGCUUGGCAGGUAUCUGUAUUACAUGAUUGGUGGGUAGAAAAGAAAUAUUUGAGAAACGCGUAGAUAGAAAAUAACGGAUAUUGAGGAUAUUUUUGUUAACAAAAGUGACAGAUAGUUAUAUUUUUAUUCGUUGAAUGAGAUUCAAUGAAAAAAUUUUAAGAUUUAUAUUUGAGAAUAAAUUAUUAUUUGAAUAAUUAUUUGAAAUGAUUAAUUAAAAAUCACUAGACAUGAAAAUAUUAGUAAAAAAGAUAGAGCCAUUUUUUGUAAGAAAAAAAAACUCAUGCUUUUAUAAAUUGUAUAGAUAUAGUAAUCCUACUCAUAUAAUAAAAACUAAAUAAUAUUUAUUUUUCAAAAAUAUUUUAAAUAACCUUACAACAUAAGAAAAAACCACCAUCCUAAAUU